rnacentral:rRNA from 1 species
GACAGAGGGUGCAAACGUUGUUCGGAAUUACUGGGCGUAAAGCGUGUGUAGGCGGCUAUGUAAGUCGGAUGUGAAAGCCCUGGGCUCAACCCAGGAAGUGCACUCGAUACUGCGUAGCUUGAGUACCGGAGAGGUUGGUAGAAUUCUCGGUGUAGAGGUGAAAUUCGUAGAUAUCGAGAGGAAUACCGGUGGCGAAGGCGGCCAACUGGACGAGUACUGACGCUGAGACGCGAAAGCGUGGGGAGCAAACAGG